AGGUCAUUUCAGAGAGGGCUUGUAGGGCUGUGAGCCAAGAGCUCUUAAUUCUGUGAUCAAAGAUUGAGGUUCUCCAUCAGAUGCUGUCGUCACUCAGUUGUGCUAUGGUCUUCUGAGGAGAUAUGAGA